rnacentral:rRNA from 1 species
AUCCUGGUGGCGAGUGGCGAACGGGUGAGUAAUAUAUCGGAACGUGCCCAGUCGUGGGGGAUAACGCAGCGAAAGCUGUGCUAAUACCGCAUACGAUCUCUGGAUGAAAGCGGGGGACUCGCAAGGGCCUCGCGCGAUUGGAGCGGCCGAUAUCAGAUUAGCUAGUUGGUGGGGUAAAAGCCCACCAAGGCGACGAUCUGUAGCUGGUCUGAGAGGACGACCAGCCACACUGGAACUGAGACACGGUCCAGACUCCUACGGGAGGCAGCAGUGGGGAAUUUUGGACAAUGGGCGCAAGCCUGAUCCAGCAAUGCCGCGUGCAGGAUGAAGGCCUUCGGGUUGUAAACUGCUUUUGUACGGAACGAAAAGGUCUGCCUUAAUACGGUGGGCUCAUGACGGUACCGUAAGAAUAAGCACCGGCUAACUACGUGCCAGCAGCCGCGGUAAUACGUAGGGUGCGAGCGUUAAUCGGAAUUACUGGGCGUAAAGCGUGCGCAGGCGGUUAUAUAAGACAGAUGUGAAAUCCCCGGGCUCAACCUGGGACCUGCAUUUGUGACUGUAUAGCUAGAGUACGGUAGAGGGGGAUGGAAUUCCGCGUGUAGCAGUGAAAUGCGUA